rnacentral:rRNA from 1 species
GCAGAUCCAUUUUCUGCCACCGAAUACAUUAGCAUGGGAUAAUGGAAUAGGACCCUGUCCUCCUAUUUUCAGUUGGUUUUGGCAGCGCGAGGACUAGGGUAAUGAUUAAUAGGGAUAGUUGGGGGCAUUAAUAUUUAAUUGUCAGAGGUGAAAUUCUUGGAUUUAUGAAAGAUUAACUUCUGCGAAAGCAUCUGCCAAGGAUGUUUUCAUUAAUCAAGAACGAAAGUUAGGGGAUCGAAGACGAUCAGAUACCGUCGUAGUCUUAACCAUAAACGAUGCCGACCAGCGAUUAGGAGACGUUGAAUACAAAACACCACCAUCGGUGCGGUCAUCCUUGGCGUUGGUCUUCAAAAGCCAGCGCGGGGGUGGCUUAGCCCGGUGGCACCGGUGAAUGACUCCCCUAGCAGCUUGUGAGAA